AAGUUGCAUGGUAAUUUUUCACUGAAGGAUAUUUUUGGUAUUUCUAUCAAAAUUUUAUAUCUUUCAGGUAGUCAUGAUACGUUGCUAGACGUCAAUCAUGUCUUGUGAGUUUGAUCGAAUUAAAGAGUUUAAUUCGAUUAUUAAUUAAAAGCUGUUCUGAUUGAUCAAAACGGUUCAGCUUGAUUUGACCUAAAUCGGCUAGAUUGUGUUCUAACCAAAUUAGUUUAAAUUGCACCUGGACUCACUGCUGGCUAGAUGUGGAACCCAAUGGGUCACACACAAAGGAAAUUGAUCAUGGGUUUAAUUUGAUUAAACCAUGUUUGCAAGUUGAACAUGCUAGUACAUGUAGCAAACCCUAGCAUUUAGAUUCGAAUCAAAUUCGAAUCGGGUUUUUCUUUGGGCAAAUUUAGAAC
rnacentral:lncRNA from 1 species